rnacentral:tRNA from 1 species
GCCGAAGUGGUGGAAUUGGUAGACACGCUAUCUUGAGGGGGUAGUGGCCUAAUGGUCGUGCGAGUUCAAGUCUCGCCUUCGGCACCA